rnacentral:tRNA from 1 species
GGAGAGGUGGUUGAGUUGGCUGAAGGCGCAGCAUUGGAAAUGCUGUGAACGUUAAUAGCGUUCCGAGGGUUCGAAUCCCUUCCUCUCCUCCA